rnacentral:rRNA from 1 species
AUGCCCAGCUUGCUGGGUGGAUUAGUGGCGAACGGGUGAGUAACACGUGAGUAACCUGCCCCUGACUCUGGGAUAAGCGUUGGAAACGACGUCUAAUACUGGAUAUGACUGCCGGCCGCAUGGUCUGGUGGUGGAAAGAUUUUUUGGUUGGGGAUGGACUCGCGGCCUAUCAGCUUGUUGGUGAGGUAAUGGCUCACCAAGGCGACGACGGGUAGCCGGCCUGAGAGGGUGACCGGCCACACUGGGACUGAGACACGGCCCAGACUCCUACGGGAGGCAGCAGUGGGGAAUAUUGCACAAUGGGCGAAAGCCUGAUGCAGCAACGCCGCGUGAGGGAUGACGGCCUUCGGGUUGUAAACCUCUUUUAGUAGGGAAGAAGGGAGCUUGCUCUUGACNGUACCUGCAGAAAAAGCACCGNCUAACUACGUGCCAGCAGCCGCGGUAAUACGUAGGGUGCAAGCGUUGUCCGGAAUUAUUGGGCGUAAAGAGCUCGUAGGCGGUUUGUCGCGUCUGCUGUGAAAUCCCGAGGCUCAACCUCGGGCUUGCAGUGGGUACRGGCAGACUAGAGUGCGGUAGGGGAGAUUGGAAUUCCUGGUGUAGCGKUGGAAUGCGCAGAUAUCAGGAGGAACACCGAUGGCGAAGGCAGAUCUCUGGGCCGUAACUGACGCUGAGGAGCGUAAAGCAUGGGGNAGCGAACAGGAUUAGAUACCCUGGUAGUCCAUGCCGUAAACGUUGGGCGCUAGAUGUAGGGACCUUUCCACGGUUUCUGUGUCGUAGCUAACGCAUUAANGCGCCCCGCCUGGGGAGUACGGCCGCAAGGCUAAAACUCAAAGGAAUUGACGGGGGCCCGCACAAGCGGCGGAGCAUGCGGAUUAAUUCGAUGCAACGCGAAGAACCNUUACCAAGGCUUGACAUACACCGGAAACGGCCAGAGAUGGUCGCCCCCUUGUGGUCGGUGUACAGGUGGUGCAUGGUUGUCGUCAGCUCGUGUCGUGAGAUGUUGGGUUAAGUCCCGCAACGAGCGCAACCCUCGUUCUAUGUUGCCAGCGCGUUAUGGCGGGGACUCAUAGGAGACUGCCGGGGUCAACUCGGAGGAAGGUGGGGAUGACGUCAAAUCAUCAUGCCCCUUAUGUCUUGGGCUUCACGCAUGCUACAAUGGCCGGUACAAAGGGCUGCGAUACCGUAAGGUGGAGCGAAUCCCAAAAAGCCGGUCUCAGUUCGGAUUGAGGUCUGCAACUCGACCUCAUGAAGUCGGAGUCGCUAGUAAUCGCAGAUCAGCAACGCUGCGGUGAAUACGUUCCCGGGCCUUGUACACACCGCCCGUCAAGUCAUGAAAGUCGGUAACACCCGAAGCCGGUGGCCUAACC